CUUGCAGGAUAGUGUGUAUCGGCUUUGCGCUAUUUUGAUGCGUCUUUGCCGAAAGUGUUUCCUGCUAUAACAAUUUGAGGAAAGUGGGCAGUUGGGUUAAGCUUAUCUGCUUUCUCCAACAAUCAUUUUCCUCUCAUGU